ensembl:lncRNA
GCCGCCGGGCCCGGCCGGUCCCCGAGGGCGGGGCCGCGGCCCCACGCCCCACCCACUGCGAGCAGAGGCGGGGCAUGGGUCACGUGACGGCACGCCGAACAGCGAGGCCCCGCCCGGCGGGAGGAGGCCCGGCCGCGACCCGGGCCGCGAGCUGAGGAGCCGCCCGGUCUCCCGCGCGCUCGCUCCGGCGGCGUCCCCAGCCCUCGGCCCCUCUGUUGCCGGCCUCCGGCUCGCCGGCUGCGAGAGUGGCCUCAAGAUGGAUGAAGACGGCGGCGGCGAGGGUGGUGGCGGGCCCUAUCUUUUCAUCCCCAAGGGAAGCCCUCCAGUGGACAAGCUUUGCUCACAAACACAGAACAUAAUGAACCUUCCCAUUUGAGAAGGAAAUCUAGUGAGAAAAGUUUACCUACACGCAACACCAAAGGAAGACUCACAGCUAGCUUCAUCUCUUUUUUUUUUUUUUUUUUUUUUUGAGACAGAGGCUUGCUUUAUUCCCCAGGCUGGAGUGCAGUGGUGUGAUCUUGGCUCACUGCAAGCUCUGCCUCCUGGGUUCACGCCGUUCUCUUGCCUCAGCCUCCCGAGUAGCUGGGACUACAACCAUCCGCCACCACGCCCGGCUAAUUUUUUGUAUUUUUAGUAGAGAUGGGAUUUCACUGUAUGAUCUUGAUCUCCUGACUUCGUGAUCCACCUGCCUUGGCCUCCCAAAGUGCUGGGAUUACAGGCGUGAGCCACCGCGCCUGGCGCUUCAUCUCAUUUUUAAAUGCGUACAAACAGCAAGGACCUCCAGAUGGAUGAAAAAACCCAACCACGUGAAAGAGAAAAUUUAAAAUAAAAUUUCUGUAGAAACAGAGAAAGCUGACAUCAAAAGAAUUUAGAAGAUAGAAGAACACUAAAAAAUGGUCAUUGGCAAUUUCCAUGAAGAUGUGACUUAGGCACUAGUGUUCGUCUAACUUUUUACCUCCCCUCCCUUGAAUCACCAGAUCCCGAUGGAAGCGAUUGAGAAAAAGAGAGAUGAAAAGCUGAAUCAUAAUGGAUAGUGGGAUCAGGGUGAAGAAAUACCAGGCCCUGACUCAUCACUCUGUUUCCUGAGAACUCAGUGCAGAGUUGUGAGGAACGUACGGAGAUGUGGUGUUGGCUGUGCUAACUUGGGAGAGCAGAGAGAGAGGGAGGCCUGAUGAUCCUGAAUGUCCGCAGGCAGCCGGGGUGGGCUUGUGCAGUGGCAAUGUUGACGAGCAGCUGAACUGGGAGGCCAGAGGACGCACGCGGCUGCAACACGCUCAAAACUACUAGAGCUUCUCCUGGGCGCCACAAUUCUCCUUUCUGGCGCGUUGGGCGGCUUCCCACCCAUCUGGAGUGGAAGCCAGAUCCAGACAGAGUUAGAUGCAGAAACUGGAAUACAAAAGCGACACGAUAGGCUCAGAGAAGGAGGCUCCCAGAGCUGACAUUCCCUGGAAGAUGGACCACAUCUCUGAAUAGGCAGUGCAGUUUAUAUAUGCAUCCUUCAGCCUAUAAACUUAGAGUUGGAAAACAACAGCAAAAACCCACCAACAUUUAGCAGCAUUCUAAGGAGGAGGUCCAGCUAUUCUUUUUUUGGGGGGGGGGGAGGGAGGCAGGAUGGGUCUAAAUACUAUUGUUCAAAAAUAAAGAAUAAAGCAACAUGUUUCCAAAAGAAAAUAGGAGGGGGUUAUAGUUUUUGAGGCAGAGGAAGAAUAUAAUUUAGAAAAUAGUAAUUACGGAAAUGAGAAGUAAAUUUCAGGUUGAAUCUACUUUGUGCUGUUCUUAAUAAAAUUCAAGAAACACACAUAAGUGGUUGAAAGAUGAGAUAAAGCAACAGGCCAAGCUGAAAACUAGGGCAGAGAGAAUUAUAAAAUGAGGCUGGGCACACAAGCUUACGCCUGUGUUCCCAGCACUUUGGGAGGCUGAGGUGAGGGGAUCGUUGCAGCCCAGGAGUUUAAGACCAGGAGUUCGAGACCAGUCUGGGCAACAUGGUGAGACCCCCUUCUCUAUAAAAAACAAGAAAAAAUUAGCCAGGUGUGGUGGUACGUGCUGCACCCGUGGUCCCAACUACUCAGAGGCUAAGGUGGGAGGAUCGCUUGAGCCCAGAAGUUGGCAAGGCUGCAGUGAGCUAUGAUUGUGGCGCUGCGCUCCAGGCUGGGUGACAGACCCUGUCUCAAAAAUAAGUAAAUAAAAAUUACAAAGUGAAAUGAAAGAGCUGAAAGAAACUGUAAUGAUAGUAAAAGCAUUUGCAGAAUUUUAAAUUCCCUUAGGAUUCAUGAAGAGCAAAAGUUUACAAUGUAGAAAGUUAAAUUAUUGCUGUGAUCUGAGUAAGUGUUGUUCCUAAAGAAGAUACGAAAACAAAUAGAACAGAAGAAACGAUAAUCAGAUUCAAUGGGAAAAAGUAUCUUUGAGCUGAAAAAAACACCAGCUGUUUCUGUAUAUUCAAAGAGCUCAUUCUGCCUUAGAUGAAAUUAGUGGAAAGAGCAAGAAAGAGCAAGAGAGGACCCUGCAAACAGCCAGUCAGAACCUGGGGAGAGGGUUACUUAUAAAGAAAUUGGGAUGGUUUUAGACUUUUCUAUAACAUUGCCAGAAAAUAGUGUCGUGGAGCUGAAGCUAAGUUUUAAGGGAAAAAAGGUUGUAACUAAGAAUUAAAUGGUCACACUAAUUGUUGUUAA